ACCUGAGCUCAGUCGAGAUCACCCGCUGAACUUAAGCAUAUCAGUAAGCGGAG
rnacentral:rRNA from 1 species